GGCGUGCUUACCAUGCAAGUCGAACGCUGAAGCUCCAGCUUGCUGGGGUGGAUGAGUGGCGAACGGGUGAGUAAUACGUGAGUAACCUGCCCUUGACUCUGGGAUAAGCCCGGGAAACUGGGUCUAAUACUGGAUGCUACAUGUCACCGCAUGGUGGUGUGUGGAAAGGGUUUUACUGGUCUUGGAUGGGCUCACGGCCUAUCAGCUUGUUGGUGAGGUAAUGGCUCACCAAGGCGACGACGGGUAGCCGGCCUGAGAGGGUGACCGGCCACACUGGGACUGAGACACGGCCCAGACUCCUACGGGAGGCAGCAGUGGGGAAUAUUGCACAAUGGGCGGAAGCCUGAUGCAGCGACGCCGCGUGAGGGAUGACGGCCUUCGGGUUGUAAACCUCUUUCAGCAGGGAAGAAGCCACAAGUGACGGUACCUGCAGAAGAAGCGCCGGCUAACUACGUGCCAGCAGCCGCGGUAAU
rnacentral:rRNA from 1 species